GAUCUCUUGGAACCCUGAGCUGCCAUGUAAGAAGUUCAACUAUUGUGAGGUCACCAUGUUGGAAGGAAGCCCAAACUUAUGGUUGUGUGGGGAGGAAGGAGGGAGAGAGAGAGAGAGAGGCUCAGCCAGCCCCAGUUGCUCCAGCUCCCAGGCAUUACAGUCAUCUCAGCUGAAGCCCCAGACCCCACAGAGAAAAGAGAGAUGAGCUGUACCCACUGUGCCUGGUUUGAUUUCCUAACCUGUAGAAUUAGGAGAUAUAAUAACAAAGUGUUUGGGGUCUGUUUGUUAUGCAGCAAUAGGGGCUGAAGGGAAAGUAAGGAAAGGUGAUGAGACAGUGUUUGGGGAAGGUUGUCUAGACCAGGAGGUCAGGGAAGGCCUCUCUAAGGAGGUGAUAUUUAUGGUGAAGUUUGAAGGACAAGAAGGAGCUGGUCAUGUGACGAUCACUCCAAAACAGACAAUAGCCUUCCAAACAGAAAACUCAGUUGAUGCAAAGGCCUAGAAGGAAUCGCUGUGUGGGUGGAGUGUGCCGGGCAAGGGAGGAAGGGCCAGGAGAUGUGAAGUUUGAGGCAGGCAGAUCAUGGAAGCGCUUUGCAGGGUAAGGAGUCUGCAUUUUUUUAUAAUGUGGAGGGAAACCAUUGGAUGGUUUCAAGCAGGGGAAUGAAGUGACAUUUGAAAGAUCAUUCUGCCAUCUGUGUGGCGAAUGGACCCUAGGAGUGCAGGACCAGAGGUACAAAUUCCACUUAGAAGGGACAGCAAAACCAGGCAACCAACUAUGGUGGCUUGUCUAGGAAGAAGUACUGGAGAUGGAGAGAAGUAGGUAGUUUGGUCUUAAUUAUGCACGUGGGCUCCCUGAUCACUCAUUUAUGAACAUUUCUUGAGUCUCGGACCAGGCAUUUUGUAGUAAAUACAUGUGUGAAGGGACACGAUAUAUUAGUACAUGCAAGUCUCCCCACUUACUAGAGAAGAUCCCAUUCUGGAAGAAAUAAGCACAAGGAGAGAGGUCUUAGCUGGACAGGCUCGAUGUCUACCUACAGAAGUAAGAGGAGACAUGAUGGGAGAGGAAAAUGAAAGACCUCAGGGUGAGAGCUAGCAAGAGAGCCUUGUGUUUUGUUCGGAGCUUCUGAUGAUAAGACAUCGUGGGGAGUGAAGCGUUUGGGGAAUGUUGCUACAUUUCCCUCAUGUUGAAGGCCCUGUUGUUCUCAGGCAGAGACCGAGCCCAGUGGAACACCCGGAUUAGCCAGGGUUGCACGGAGAUAGCUGACAUUGUCCCUGAUCCUAAAGUUAGUCAAAGGGGUCAGAUACGCACAGGUGAUCAUAAUAGAAGGAAAGAAGCCCACUGAGCUUACGGAAAUACAGGUGAAUUGCUACUAAAGCAAUCUGGGCCACCUGAGAUGAUUGACACGUGGGGGAAAUCAGGGUCAGCUUUGCAGUCAGUGACAUUGAGGGCUAGGCAGGAUGGGGUGUGAGGAAAUGGCUGAGGAAGGCGUUGUGGGGGCAACCCGUUAACAGAGACCCAGAGGUGGAAAACCCAGGGAUUUUCAAGUGCUUCAGUUUGGCUGAUGCUUAAGGUAUGUGAAGCAGAGGCCUGAUGGACAAGGCUGGAAGCUGGGCUGGGCCCUGGACGCCAUCCAGGGAGUUAGGGCUUUGCAAAGCAGCGGGAGGCACUGAAAUUUUUUAAGCAGGAGGGUGACAUGAUCUUGGAAUUCAAGGCUGAAAGAAAAUGUGCAAAGAACCCAUUUCCGCCUCCUCAUUUUACAAAUGAAGAAGCUGAGGGCCAGGUGUGUUCAAAGCCAUGGCAGUCAGGUGGGCCAGAAUUUCACAGUUUAUCAGUAAGUGACUGAGAUGGAUCUAAAUUCAGAUUUGAAUCCAAAACCUGUGCUUUCUACCCCUCACCACAUCAUCUCUUCUCAGGAUGGAGAGCAGAGGAGAGCCAGAGGGGAGGAGGACUGUGUCUGCCCCAAACCUGAGAAACAGGCCAGACAUCUGUGAGCUAUCUCUGCCACAGUCAUCUUCUGAAGCCUGUGAAGUCUUCUCAUUUGCCAGACAAGCUGGAAGGAAGCACUGAGAGGGAACCACGCUCCUGGAACCGUGCACGCAAUCAGUAAUAGCCCACCCUUCUGAGAAUCCCCAGUCAGCAAGAGCCUCACCCCAGUGACCGUGUUUCUAGAGCCAAAGCUCGACCAUUCCUCAACACUCUGAAGGUUGACCCAUCCCCGAACUCCAUGCUUCCCCAAAGACUACAUGAGAUGAACUCUCUGCAUUGCUCAGAGACUGCCUUGCAAGUACAGCUCUCCUUUGCCUAAGCAAGCAGUAAACUCAGACUGAGCAAUACUUUUUUUUCUUUUUUUUUUAGUUUUGGUAUAAGAUUGGUCUUUAUGGGAGCCAGAAGUGCCUUCCUUACUUUUAUCCCUUUGCCCUCCCCCAGCAUCCUAGCUCCAUCCCGGACCCACAUGGAACAUCCACAAGACAAAAAACCUCUGUUUUAAUAAAGUGGAUCACUUCCCUUGGCAUAAUUUUUAUCAUGUUGCAUUAUGUCAAAAGACCCUCUCCUCCCACCACCACUGGGCAUGAAGCUAGGGAGAAAGGAGGUGAUGGAGGAGACAUUUUUCCACAUGUACUUAAUUUCUGAUACCAAAAUGAGAUCGUAAUAUACUGGUUAUUUUAAAACUUGCUUUUUUAAACUUAAUAUAUUGUUGACAUUUACCCACGACAAUAGAUAUUCUUCUAUAGCAUGAUUUUUUGAGAACUAAAUUGCAUUCCAUCCCUUGGAUAUCCUGGAA